AGUGAACGCUGGCGGUAGGCCUAACACAUGCAAGUCGAACGGCAGCACAGUAAGAGCUUGCUCUUACGGGUGGCGAGUGGCGGACGGGUGAGGAAUACAUAGGAAUCUACUUUUUCGUGGGGGAUAACGUAGGGACACUUACGCUAAUACCGCAUACGACCUACGGGUGAAAGCAGGGGAUCUUCGGACCUUGCGCGAUUGAAUGAGCCGAUGUCGGAUUAGCUAGUUGGCGGGGUAAAGGCCCACCAAGGCGACGAUCCGUAGCUGGUCUGAGAGGAUGAUCAGCCACACUGGAACUGAGACACGGUCCAGACUCCUACGGGAGGCAGCAGUGGGGAAUAUUGGACAAAGGGCGCAAGCCUGAUCCAGCCAUACCGCGUGAGUGAAGAAGGCCUUCGGGUUGUAAAGCCCUUUUGUUGGGAAAGAAAAGCAGCAGGUGAAUACCCCGCUGUUCUGACGGUACCCAAAGAAUAAGCACCGGCUAACUUCGUG
rnacentral:rRNA from 1 species